ACCUGGCUGGCUCACUCAGAAGAGCGUGUGGCUCUUGAUCUCAGGGAUGUGAGUUCGAGCCCCACGUUGGGUG
rnacentral:tRNA from 1 species